AUUGAACGCUGGCGGUAUGCUUAACACAUGCAAGUCGAACGGCAGCGCGCUAGUUUCUUCGGAAACUGGUGGCGGCGAGUGGCGGACGGGUGAGUAACGCGUAGGAAUCUACUCUAAAGUGGGGGAUAACUCGAGGAAACUCGAGCUAAUACCGCAUAUGUUCUACGGAAUAAAGCUGGGGACCGUUUCGGCGGCCUGGUGCUUUAGAAUGAGCCUGCGUCAGAUUAGCUUGUUGGUGGGGUAAUGGCCUACCAAGGCAACGAUCUGUAGCUGGUCUGAGAGGACGAUCAGCCACACUGGGACUGAGACACGGCCCAGACUCCUACGGGAGGCAGCAGUGGGGAAUAUUGGACAAUGGGCGAAAGCCUGAUCCAGCAAUACCGCGUGUGUGAAGAAGGCCUUAGGGUUGUAAAGCACUUUCAGUAGAGAAGAAAUGCUCAAGGUUAAUACCCUUGAGAGUUGACCUAACCUACAGAAGAAGCACCGGCUAACUCUGUGCCAGCCGCCGCCGUAACAC
rnacentral:rRNA from 1 species